rnacentral:rRNA from 1 species
GACGAGCGCUGGCGGCGUGCUUAACACAUACAAGUCGAACGGAAAGGCCCUGCUUUUGUGGGGUGCUCGAGUGGCGAACGGGUGAGUAACACGUGAGUAACCUGCCCUUGACUUUGGGAUAACUUCAGGAAACUGGGGCUAAUACCGGAUAGGAGCUCCUGCUGCAUGGUGGGGGUUGGAAAGUUUCGGCGGUUGGGGAUGGACUCGCGGCUUAUCAGCUUGUUGGUGGGGUAGUGGCUUACCAAGGCUUUGACGGGUAGCCGGCCUGAGAGGGUGACCGGCCACAUUGGGACUGAGAUACGGCCCAGACUCCUACGGGAGGCAGCAGUGGGGAAUAUUGCACAAUGGGCGGAAGCCUGAUGCAGCAACGCCGCGUGCGGGAUGACGGCCUUCGGGUUGUAAACCGCUUUCGCCUGUGACGAAGCGUGAGUGACGGUAAUGGGUAAAGAAGCACCGGCUAACUACGUG